rnacentral:rRNA from 1 species
AUGCAGUGCGGAAGUGUUAUCAGAAUAGACGGGCUGUAUAUACAACCGGUCUAUUCUGCUAAUAUUAGCAGAAUAACUAUUCUGAUAACACUUCCGCACUACACGCUCAAUGCAAGUGCACGUCAUUGUUUGAACCAAGUGUGUUGCAGUACUGAGGCGAGUGAAUUUCCUGUGGCAAAAAACUGCACGCAGUGUUUUUUCUGGUACUGUUUUCGCUCUAGUUUUUUAACCAUUUGUCGGAACGAGGCGUGUAAUAUACCGUUGAAAAGCUAUGGAUUAGGCGCAACUUCGCGAUGUUGA